GUGGAGAGUAACUUUGGCCUCAGUUUCCUCGGGAUUUAAGACACGGCGACAAAAUCUCUGCAUUCAGCUCCUCCCUGACCCUGAGGGUUGUCAGAUUGAUGGAGGAGAUACCAUCCUGGGAGGAAAGAAGCAGGAGCCGCCAGAGCUCUGGCAGCUCCACAGGCAUGUGCCCUGGGAACACACUCACAUACUCUGAUAGGAUUCCACCUGCCUGGACAGGACUGGCUCAGGGACCAGAUUUCCUCAGACAGCAGUGGGAAGGGAUUCCCCCAGAGUCCCAGAGCCCGGACCCACAGCCAGGUUGGGGUCCCCUGGUCCUGGGCCAGGUCGAACUCUGAGAGAAAGAUCCUGGACCAAAACUGUGGCAUGGAACAAAUUGGUUUCUCAGUGAACAUCUUUCCUUCUGUAGACAGAACAAAACCUCAAUAAAUACG